rnacentral:rRNA from 1 species
GUGGGGAGCAAACAGGAUUAGAUACCCUGGUAGUCCACGCCGUAAACGAUGUCGACUUGGAGGUUGUGCCCUUGAGGCGUGGCUUCCGGAGCUAACGCGUUAAGUCGACCGCCUGGGGAGUACGGCCGCAAGGUUAAAACUCAAAUGAAUUGACGGGGGCCCGCACAAGCGGUGGAGCAUGUGGUUUAAUUCGAUGCAACGCGAAGAACCUUACCUGGUCUUGACAUCCACGGAAGUUUUCAGAGAUGAGAAUGUGCCUUCGGGAACCGUGAGACAGGUGCUGCAUGGCUGUCGUCAGCUCGUGUUGUGAAAUGUUGGGUUAAGUCCCGCAACGAGCGCAACCCUUAUCCUUUGUUGCCAGCGGUCCGGCCGGGAACUCAAAGGAGACUGCCAGUGAUAAACUGGAGGAAGGUGGGGAUGACGUCAAGUCAUCAUGGCCCUUACGACCAGGGCUACACACGUGCUACAAUGGCGCAUACAAAGAGAAGCGACCUCGCGAGAGCAAGCGGACCUCAUAAAGUGCGUCGUAG